AGCUCAGUUGGUUAGAGCGCCGGAUUGUGGUUCCGGAGGUCGCGGGUUCGAACCCCGUC
rnacentral:tRNA from 1 species